GCGAAGUGGCCAACGGUCUUAUGUACAUCCUGAGCACCGGCUGCCAAUGGCGGGCGAUCCCGAAAGACCUGCCGCCCCGCUCGACCUUGUACGAUUACUUCGAUCUGUGGAGCUGGGACGGCACGCUUGAUCGCAUUCAUCACGCCCUUUAUGUCGAAUGCCGCGCGAGAGCUGAGCGCGAGGCGUCUCCGACCACGGCCAUCAUUGACAGCCAGAGCGUGAAAAGCGCUGAAAAAAGGGGGCCCCGCAUCGACCCGCAUGGCUACGAUGCGGGCAAGAAGAUCAAGGGCAAGAAGCGGCAUAUUCUCGUCGACACGCAGGGCCUCUUGAUGCACGCCAUCGUGCAUGCCGCCGACAUCCAGGAUCGCGAGGGCGGCGUGCUUCUGAUGGCCACGCUGUUCGGCAUCUAUCCCUUCCUUCUGAAGCUCUAUGCCGAUGGCGGAUAUCAGGGCGCCGGCUUUCAAGAGGCGCUGCGUGCCGUUCUGAACCGCGUUAACCUUGAGAUCGUCAAGCGUUCCGAUCAAGCGCGGCGCUUCGUCGUCUUGCCCAAACGCUGGAUCGUCGAGCGGACCUUCGCCUGGCUCGGACGAUGCCGAAGGCUCGCCAAGGAUUGGGAAUGCCUCAAUCGCAAAGCACUCGCCUUCCUCAAGCUCGCCUCCAUCCGUCUCAUGCUGCGAAAACUAUGCAAUCAAAAGUGAUGUUCCCGGACAGACUCUCAGACACAGACCGCAGAACCACAAAUGUGGGUUUGCUCAUUUGCGGGUUAUCCCGGCCUGUGCUUCGAGUUCGGCUAUACGGGUGUCUAUGAAAGCCUCGAUUUCCUGAACCAUAGCGGCAUGGGGGCUUUCAGUACAGGCGAGGCCGGCGGGGGCAUCGACGAUUGCCGGCCAGGCAACGGCCAGGCCCCCCGCCCCCAAAGACUGGCCGCGUUGGGUCCCGUAUCACUCGUCACGCGCGUGUGCGGCCCUUUAUCAUCUUUGGGGUUUAAAGCCGAUUCUGGCAUGUCUGGAUGCGGCAAUGAUCGCCGGCACACCUUUACGGGCAGCAAGGUGCGGGACGAUUGACAUGCGUUUAGAGUGUUUAGCCGUGCCGUAGUACACAGAGUCCCGACCAUUCACCCUUGUAUCCACCAUGGACAAAACAAUGCCACCCAUGUUGACGCCGCAAUCCGCCAAUUGCUUGACAGCGUAGGUAACGACCUCGCGUGUCGUAUGGCCCCAACGCACAACAAAAAUAACGCUAUCUACUAAGGUAGCCAUCCUCUGCGUGACAGCUGCGACGAGCAGCGGGGGCGAGUCAAGGACCAUAGUGUCAUAAUCGCUUUCCAGCCGCUGCAGGAAACCGCUUAGGCGAUCAACUGACAAUUCGUCAUAGGUUGAGAAUGUUCCGGCGCUAAGUACUUCUACUCCAUUGGAAUCAUUUACCUUGUGGAUGACGUCUCGAAUAUCAGCCUUACCUUCUAAGACUUGGCCGAGCCCUACAGAGGCAGGUGCUGUAUUAGAUGCAGCGCCAGAACUCGAUCGAAGGAAAUCGAGGUCUAGCAGUAGGACCCUUAGACCUGUCCCAGCCAGCAGUUUCGCCAAUGACAUAGCGAUAGUCGACUUUCCCUCCUUGGGCUGGGCGGACGUCACUAAUACCGUACGUGGGGGCGGCGUGCUUCCUCGAAGCAUCAACAGACGGAUAAAGAUCCGGCGCAUUGCCUCCGCAAACGCCGAAUCCGGUUCAAGCGCCAGGGAGGAAGGUUUGGACGUCUUUACGGCAGGGACAUGCGCAAGAACCUUCAGUCCGGUUUCGCGCUCAACUUGUCCUGCACUUCGGAACGAAGCAUCAAUACCUUCAAUAAAGAAGGCCAGGAGUACGCCCGCCAUACUAGAGAGAGCAGCGGCCGCAAUCACAACACCCCUCCGCGGAAAGGACGGCCGCUCGGGAAUGGCUGCGGUGGAAACGAUGCUGACAUCUGGCAAUUGCGCGCUCAUGUUUUGGGC
rnacentral:misc_RNA from 1 species